rnacentral:rRNA from 1 species
GAGUUUGAUCAUGGCUCAGGACGAACGCUGGCGGCGUGCCUAACACAUGCAAGUCGAGCGAGGAAGCCCCUUCGGGGGUGGAAUAGCGGCGGACGGGUGAGUAACACGUGGGUAACCUGCCUCAAAGAGGGGGAUAGCCUCCCGAAAGGGAGAUUAAUACCGCAUAGAAGGUAAAAAUCGCAUGAUAAAUGCCUUAAAGGAGCAAUCCGCUUUGAGAUGGGCCCGCGUCGCAUUAGCUAGUUGGAGGGAUAAAAGCCCCCCAAGGCGACGAUGCGUAGCCGACCUGAGAGGGUGAACGGCCACAUUGGAACUGAGAUACGGUCCAGACUCCUACGGGAGGCAGCAGUGGGGAAUAUUGCACAAUGGGGGAAACCCUGAUGCAGGAACGCCGCGUGAGUGAAGAAGGUUUUCGGAUCGUAAAGCUCUGUCAUCCGGGACGAUAAUGACGGUACCGGAAGAGGAAGCCACGGCUAACUACGUGCCAGCAGCCGCGGUAAUAC